rnacentral:rRNA from 1 species
UGAGCAAUCUGCCCUUCUCAUCGGAAUAAGCGUUGGAAACGACGUCUAAUGCCGAAUACGACCUCCUUUCGCAUGAUCGGAGGUGGAAAGCUCCGGCGGAGAAGGAUGAGCUCGCGGCCUAUCAGCUAGUUGGUGAGGUAACGGCUCACCAAGGCGACGACGGGUAGCUGGUCUGAGAGGAUGUCCAGCCACAUUGGGACUGAGACACGGCCCAGAUCCGUAACGGGG